AAGGAUCCCGGCUUGCCGGGAACCGAGUAAAGUGGCGGACGGGUGCGUAACGCGUAGACAACUUGCCCUUGAGCGGGGAAUAACUGCCGGAAACGGCAGCUAAUACCGCAUGAUGUCAUAGGACCGCAUGGUUCUGUGACCAAAGCUUUCGAGCGCUCAAGGAUGGGUCUGCGUCGGAUUAGCUUGUUGGUAGGGUAACGGCCUACCAAGGCGACAAUCCGUAGCUGGUCUGAGAGGACGAUCAGCCACACUGGGACUGAGACACGGCCCAGACUCCUACGGGAGGCAGCAGUGGGGAAUCUUGCGCAAUGGAGGAAACUCUGACGCAGCUACGCCGCGUGCAGGAAGACACCCCUCAGGGGCGUAAACUGCUUUUUCGUGAGAAGAAGGCUUCGGCG
rnacentral:rRNA from 1 species